rnacentral:rRNA from 1 species
GAGCAAACAGGAUUAGAUACCCUGGUAGUCCACGCCGUAAACGAUGUCUACUUGGAGGUUGUGCCCUUGAGGCGUGGCUUCCGGAGCUAACGCGUUAAGUAGACCGCCUGGGGAGUACGGCCGCAAGGUUAAAACUCAAAUGAAUUGACGGGGGCCCGCACAAGCGGUGGAGCAUGUGGUUUAAUUCGAUGCAACGCGAAGAACCUUACCUGGUCUUGACAUCCACAGAAUUCUGCAGAGAUGCGGAAGUGCCUUCGGGAACUGUGAGACAGGUGCUGCAUGGCUGUCGUCAGCUCGUGUUGUGAAAUGUUGGGUUAAGUCCCGCAACGAGCGCAACCCUUAUCCUUUGUUGCCAGCGGUUAGGCCGGGAACUCAAAGGAGACUGCCAGUGAUAAACUGGAGGAAGGUGGGGAUGACGUCAAGUCAUCAUGGCCCUUACGACCAGGGCUACACACGUGCUACAAUGGCGCAUACAAAGAGAAGCGACCUCGCGAGAGCAAGCGGACCUCAUAAAGUGCGUCGUAGUCCGGAUUGGAGUCUGCAACUCGACUCCAUGAAGUCGGAAUCGCUAGUAAUCGUGGAUCAGAAUGCCACGGUGAAUACGUUCCCGGGCC